rnacentral:rRNA from 1 species
UACGUAGGGGGCAAGCGUUGUCCGGAUUUAUUGGGCGUAAAGCGCACGCAGGCGGUCUUGUAAGUUUCGAGUGACAGGUGGUGGCUUAACUGCCACAGGCCUUGGAAAACUGCAAGACUUGAGGGCGAGAGAGGGAUGCGGAAUUCCAGGUGGAGCGGUGAAAUGCGUAGAGAUCUGGAAGAACACCAAAGGCGAAGGCAGCAUCCUGGACCGGCAUUGACGCUGAGGCGCGAAAGCUAGGGGAGCAAACGGG